rnacentral:lncRNA from 1 species
GCACUUGUCUUAACCAGUACUCUUAUAAGUUAGUUUUUAGUUAUUCGUAUUCUCUAUUAUCAUUAUUGCUUCCGCACAAUGUACAUGGCUACGUCACCCUCACGUGACGGCCAGCAUGCCUCGAUCUCGGUCGGGGUGUGUCAAUUCCAAUAAUUGAGAUAAUAGUUUACGGACGAUAUUUUUAACUAUUACCAAUGAAGGUAAUAUAAUAUUUGCUAAAUAUUCUUGGGUUACGAAAACUGUUUAUAAGAUAGUAUUCUUGGGUUAUUUAACCCAUAAUGUAAAGUAUAUAUUAUAAUUAGCUAUAUAAAUCAUGCACUGUAGUCAAUAGCAUUGAUUUAAGUUUUGUCCGAUAGAGAACAUGGUUAGGAGAAGGAUUACACUUGUUGACCAUGAAGCAUGUCUUUUCGGCAACAAUCAAAAGACGCAACAUUCAAAUUGAAGAGAUGUGAUUGUUGGGUUAAUAACACAACUUCCCAUCCCCUGUCAAACAUCCACAUAUAUAUAUAUAUAUAUAAUUUUAUUUUUAAAAUAUUCAACAUUACAUAUAUAAAAUAAAUGGGUAAACGGUUACCCAUUUAUAACCGCGGUUAAUAUCCAUAACCACCCAUUUAAAUUUUACGGUUAAACAAUUAUACCUAUAACCGUUUAUUUAUCUAAACGGUUACCCAUAACCGUAACCGUGAAGUUUAAAUGGACGGGUAACCGUGGUUACUCAUAACCGCAGAUAUUUUGCCCAUCCCUACUCUGGAACCCCUCUUAUUGUCUCUGUCGCUCACUCGAGACUGGGACGAAGAAGACAAAAGACCAAAAGUGAAGAUUGCUUGUAUUUAGUAUUGAACCCAAUUAUAUAAGCUGAAAAUUGUUUAUGUUUUUGCAAAAAUGAACAUAGUUGGAAUAUUGGUAUGUUAUAAAGGAAGAUGGGUGAUCAAGGGUAAAGUUUGCAAUUACAAGAUCAGAAAAUAAAGCGACACACUUUAUCGCGAUGCACGAUGGAGCGAAGAUAAGCAACUUAGUCUGGAUUGAUAGGCCCCCAUCUUUAUUUAUGAGUAUGUUUGGUUAAUUUUGAAAUUGUGAGCAUUUUUUAUUGAGUUGGGCAAAUAGUGAGUAUUUUUGCCAAAAAAUGUAAAGAUCAACCUGGCGUUGAACUUUUAACGUGUGAAAAAGUUCAUGGAUUAGUAUUUUUGAAGCUGGAUUGAAUUAUUCAAUUCUUCAUUGUGUUUGACUACUUCCCUCUUGUUCAAAAAGCUCUGUGGAAUUUUUCGGUGUAACUCUAUUGACCCUAAAAAUUAUUAAGCCUAC